UUGCUUUGGCAGCACAUAUUCUAAAAUUGGAAAAAUACAGAGAAGAUUAGCAUGGCCCCUGUGCAAGGAUGACACACAAAUUCAUGAAGCAUUCCGUAUUUUU
ensembl:snRNA U6 U6 spliceosomal RNA